CCACGGACUCGCGUCCGUGGCUAUUGCCUGUCGUCACUUCGUGACU
rnacentral:sRNA from 1 species